ACAAUCUUUGCACGGCAAAGCUGGGAACCCCACUGAAAUCCAACGCCGACACACCACUCCCAGCCACACACAUCCACACACUUAGCUCCGCCUCCACUCCACAGCUCGCCGGCACCCGCGCCUCCACGCCGCGUCCACCACACCGCCGCGCCGGACCACCGCCGCGCCGGCCGCUCGCCACCGCCGCCCGCCAUGGCCGCUGGGUGAAUUCGCCUCGACGCGCCGCUCCGCCCGGCCACGACUCCGAGCUGCUGGCCCCUCGGACGACUUCGCAGCGCCGCGCUGCCGGCACGGCGCCGCACCACCUCCGGCCACGACUCCGAGCUCGGCAGCGCUGCUGCCGGCCGGGCGCCGCGCCAAAGCCAGCCCGCCUCUGCAGUGCCGCUGCCGGCGCGCCUUCGAGCCCGCCUCCACCACCACCUCGCCGAGCUGCCGCCACCACGCCUCCACUGGAAGAACGGAAGUUUCAGUUGUUUGGUGUUGCUAUAAGUGGAGCAUGGAGCUGUUGCUGCUGUCUCUUGUGUGAAUCUACAGCACAUUGCAAGGGUCCGUUUACCUUCCCUACAUUGCUUGGUCCAGCCUUUACUAAUCUGGUGUUACUCUAUUUUCUGAAAGACUGAGCAUCUAUUGUGCACAAUACCAAAUACUAACAUGUUGGCUUUUAGCAAAUAUCAUCUAUAGAUGCUUUUGACUCACUAGCCAGCAUAGAAAUUAGUUUGCUAUUUAAUUCAAGGACACGAGUUCUGUUUUUUGAUUGAUUUUACUUCUCAUAAACCUGUCACAUUAUGUUCAGUUAAUGAAUGAAAACAGGUUAAUUCCAACAUGACUUCUUUGAUAUUGUAAAAUAUAGCUUACUACUGCAGUCCUGUAUAAUUUGGCAAUGCAAUCCAAUGUGUGACUGAUACAUACAUGAUAGCUGCAAAUUGCAAGUGCAUAAGCAAGCCUGCAAACUUUUAUUCUCAUAUGCUUGCUGACAGUAGUUUACUGGAUUGAAUCAUUGACAAUGCAUAAGUACUCAUUUGUUCAUUUUCUUGCAAUAGCUCAACGGUGGUAACAGAAACAUACAAAUCUGUAUUACUUUCUUAUCUCUUUUUGGCUGGUUUAAAAAUUUGUAACCAUGGAUGCAGAUUGUGUUUGUAAAUAUAUAUAUUUUUUAGCU